CUAUUAGGCCUCUAAUUUUUUUAUUUUUUAAAAAUCAGACCCAAUUAAAGAAGCCCAAAUGACCUUCUCCAUACCAUAUACCCAGCAACCCGAAAACAGAGUCCCAGAUUUUUCCCCAAAUUGCCACCACCCACGAAUCUUCUCUACGGCUCUACCCGUCUACCACCACUAGCGCAGCAGCCAGCAGACGUUGCAGACGGCACCGUCAGGUCCGCCAUCGAUCAGAGACGAGAGCAGCAAGCGAGCAGCACUCCAGACUCCUGUCCAGCAGGCAGCCCGCAACAAUAAUGCAAGAUUCUUUUAGUUAUUUCCCAUUUUUAUUAUCGUUUCUAAAUAAAUAAAUUGUGCUAUCUGCAACUUUCCAUCCCUUUUCGUUUAUCCUCUGAGAUUUUAGUGUUACACUUUAUUGUUUGUUUUCUUGAUGACUGCAUUUUGAGUGACUAUUGAAGGUUUACACUUUUUUGUAUUUUCAAAAUUUAUCUCAUAACUGAUAUGAAUUAUGUCGAGGAAAGUGUAUGCUAUAUUUGUUUAUGUGUAACGUUGGGCUCUUUUCUGUGCUUAUAGGCCAUAGCUACUGGGUUUAGAAAAAUAAGCUAUGGUGGCUGGAGG
rnacentral:lncRNA from 1 species